ACUUAGUCUUUAGUUGUUCUAAAGCUCGGCCUUUGUCCCUUAGUAGCAUUACGGCUCUUUCUGCCAUUCAGGAAAAGAGGUCUCUCUAUCCUCCUGUUUCAAAUGUUGGGUUGCCUUCUCUACCUUUGGGAGAAUGGCUUUUGCAGCACAUGGCAUUUUAAAGGUCUCCCUUUGAUCAGCCUGGCUGCAUGCAGGGGGGUUUCUUGAUGAUGGCCUUGCCUCUUCUCUUCCUUGAAGCGUUGGGUUAGAUGGGCUCCUUUGUAGCAGCAUGGUAUCUCUUGGGGACGCCACUGGCGCCUUUCAUUGGUGCCUAAUCUCUCAAUGGUUAAAGGAGCUAAAGAGCUCUGCCUUGCGCUUGUUUGGUCUUUCCCCUCUGUUCAUCUCCAAGUUAUUGUGUGGUUACUUCUUAAUGUUGUCUAUGGGCUCUACCAAGCUUGUCUUUCUUUAGGAUGGCUUCCAUUGGGGUUUAUAUGAGUAGGUGCUUUGUCAUGAUGAAAAACCCUUUUGCUUCAUUGGUUUCCUUUGCUUCCUAGAAAGUGUCAUUUAGCUUUGGUUAGGAUUCCUCUACUACCAGGUUCCUUCUCUUUUCGAUCAUGCCCAUAUUGCUAGGUUUGUUUUGAGCCUCUGGCCUUUUAGUGGGCUGUGGCUUCGGGUAGCCUAUUAGGGGCUUUUUUUUUUUUUUUUUAACAGACCCUGGUUUUUAGCUUGGGUUUAGUGUGUGAUUUUAGUUUUUUAGGUUUAGCUAAUUUACUAUUGGAUCCUAGUUGGAUAUCUUAUAUGUACUGCCUAGCCUUUAUUAUAGUAAUAAAUUUAAUAUCUUUGGCAAAAAAAAAGUAAAAUAGAGAAAUUUUUGUUAUUUUUAUAAUAUCCCUGCCAUUCAAAAUACUAAAACAAAGCAAAAACUAUAAGAAAACCAUGGAAAAGAAAUGAAACAAACUUAUAAUUUAAAUUUGUACAAAACAAAUUCGCAUAAGCGAAAGAGAUAAUUCUAAAUAACUUAAAAAUCUUACGAAACAUUAAUUUUACAAUAGAAACCCACAAAAGAGAGAAAACCUGAAAUUUUAGUGGGGUAAAAUACUAUUAAGUUAAUAUAAAAUAAAUGGGUUCAAUGGCAAUAAUUGCCCCUACUUCCUUACAACUGUUGGGGAUCACAGGAGCCAUAGUAAUCUGGUGAUGAUGGGAAAGGAGGGAGGCAUGAAGCAAGAAAGGGGGAGACAAAGAUUAGGUGUUAUAGAUUGCUAUAGAAGAGUUGAGAAAUCAGAGGGAAAGGUAAGGACUUGGUCAGUGGAUGGGUGGAGAAACCUUUAUCAUAAAUAAGGCCCUCUAAUCCCUUUUCAAAUCAUGAAUUAGGGAUACCAUGUUAAUCCUUGAAAUAACUUACAAUAAGCAAAUAAAACAUCCUCUAAACAAUAAUCUUAAAAGAAAAGGCCUUAGCAAAAAAAAAAAAGCCAAACUUUGUCAGGUUUUGGUAAUUUUAUCCAAUCAUUUCAUUCUUGGCAUAACUAACCAAAUUUUCAAACGAUAUAAAAAUUUUAUCCAAAAUUAAAAUUGAAUUUGAAGGGAGUGUGCCCCAGUAUUUGUGGCACCUUAUUUAGCAUUUUUUAAUAUAAAAUAAUGGACUCUAUUUGCCACAUAAGCUAACUCUAAGUUAAGGAACUUAGUUAACCUUAUUAAUUAAACUAAUUAAAAUAAAAAAAUUCAUUUAAAUCUAAAAUCUCUAACAACAAUAACUAAACAGAACCCUAAUUCUAUAAACAUUUUGUAGAAUGAGAAAGUAAGAGGGUGAGAGAGAGAGGUGAAGGUUGAAGGGUGUGAUAGAACGGGAGAAGCUUGACUGGACCCUUCACUGCUCGACUCAGCAAAAUGUCAGCGAUGGGUUUUUUUUGUUGGCUUUGAAUCUAAUGUUCUUUAUUCUUUGUUUUCUUUAGUUUCCCUCAUUAGUAAUAUGUUUUAGACUUUAUGACAAUAGGUGGGUUGCCUUUGCAAAAUUCUUCCUUUACCUUAGCUCUAGGAUGAGAGUAAAAUAAGGUUCAACAAUUGCAAUAUCUGUAAUAGAAUCAAAGCCAAAAAAGUAACACAUGAGGAACAUCUAAAGAUGUAGAUGCUAUAGAUAAAAAUGAAUCAAAGAAUGAAUCUAUUGUUAGCAAUUUUAUGCAUUUUGAGUCUUUGAAAACAAUGCCUUGAAUUAAUGUGCUUAGUGCUCAAGAACUUGAUGGAACAAGCUUUGGGUAUAUGUGGGUUGCAUUAUUAUACUAGAAUGUUUAAACUAAAAAAUAAAGCUCUGUCGUAACAUUACUUAUAAAAAAAAUAAUAAUAACAAAGCCAAAAUGAUGUGCCUACCCUGAAACUAAAAAGCUUAGAGAUGAAUGCAUUAUGGAGCAUGGUGAAACUGCUUGUGUAAAAUGGACCGACGCUCAUUGUCAAUGCCUUCGAGUUGAUGGUUUUAAUGCUAAAAAUUGAUUUAAAUGGUUGAGUUGAUAAUUGAUACUAUUUUGGGGCAUAGGAUUUGUUUUAGUUAUGUUCUUAGUUUUUUUUUUUUUAAUUUUAGUUAGUUUAAUUAACUAUGGUUAUCUAAGUGGGUUAACUAUGAGUUAGCAUAUGUGGCCCAUUAUUUUAUAUUAAAAAAUAUUAGGUGGAGUGUCACAUAGGAUGGGGCACCCUCACCCAGAUCCAAUUUUAAUUAUGCAUAGAAUUUUGGCCGAUUGUGUUAAGAAUUAGACAAUUGAAUAAAAUCACCAAAACAUGAUAGCGUUUGGCUUUUUUGGCCAAUAUGCCAAAAGAAAAAGAGGUGAGAAAACAUGAAAACAAAUAAAACACAAUAUAUAUCAAAGAGGGGAAAACAUUUUGGAAAAGAGUGCAUUUGAGAAAGAGAUUAAAACCUUUUCUACCUACAUAUCUUCAAGAAAUAAAGAAAAGAAGAAAAUUGGAUGCAAGAUUUAAGUGGUUCAACUAUAAGAGAAAAAAAAAAAUCUAUGUUCAUAAACAAGACAUAAGAGAAAAAAAAUUCACUAUAAUGAAAAAAGUGAGAUAUAAUUAGAAAAAAACUAUCCAGACCCUAACCCUAGUUUGUUUUUCCUAAAUUCUAAUAAUACUAUUGAAAUAUGCAAGUUAUACAACAUUUAUAUUCGUUCAUAUCCUCCGCUAUAAUUAUAGACCUCACAAAAUAUUCCAUUCGAACGCAGCAUAAACUUUUUGGCUAAGUCAAAAUUCAAGUCCAUAAAAAUAUAUCCAAAAAUUAAGCCACGUUAUAACAUCUUGUGCAUGAGAAAGAAAUUGAAGGUGUGUUCUAAUCAAGGUGGCCUUUUCUCCAAUUAAUUUAUUAUGCUCAUCUUGUGAAAGAAAGUUGCAUCCUCUCAAGUUAAUGCUAGAAAGAUACUUCUGAAAACUUUCAUAAAAUUUAUGGUGUUUAUUGCUACACAAAUAAGGUUUCAUCAGAAUCUGUAAACUGGAUUAAGAGAUAAUGUUAAUACUUUGAUGAUUGAUUUUGUGACAUCUCUACAUCAUUAGGCUUAGGAACUUGUGAAGUGCUCAGGGUAGCAAUUUCAAAAUCAUUGUGGAAAAUCCAAAUACCGCUCAAUUGCAUAAAAAACAUAUGCUAGUUGAUCCAAUCCAUGUGAUUUAUAGUGACACUAGCUAAAAUUAUAGCCUCCACGAUUUGACAUUGAGAUCCUCCCUCUAUGGCUGGUUUCUGGAAAAAAAGCACAGUCCGUCUUACUAAUAUAUAGUAUUUUUAUGGAAUUAAUUGUAUUAAUUCAUGUAAAUAUUUAGACUUUUAAUUAAUUUUAAUUACAUUUUAUAGUUUUAUUUUGCUAAAAGUUAAUUUUUUUCAUUUUAAUUGAUUUUUUUAUUUUAGGAAAAAAUUAUAAAGAAGAAUGAAGAAUGGAAGAAAGUCCAAUUUUUGGUAGAAAAUCUCAUGGUCAGCCAUGAGAAUCACAUGAUGAGCUGUGGGACUAAAGACACGAGCAUGAUUGCUUGUGGGACUUUAAUAGGUUGCAUGGCCAGCCAUGAGAUUGUCUCUUACACGCAUGGUUAGCCAUGAGAUGGUCUUUAGAAAGUUAUUUUGCUCCUAAUAAAUGUUUGACACAUCAUCAAAAGGUGAAAUAAGGUCCAAAAGUGGUGGUGGUUAGAAAUGGGAGCAGAAGAGGAAUAGGGAAUGUUUUUUUUAGAGAGAGCUUUUGGGAUCCAAACACUCAAAAAAGAUUUUAAUUGUGCUGGAGCAAGGAAUUUAGAAGGGGGAUUUUGGAAGCUUGAAGGAGGAAGACACAAUCUGCAUCCUAAAGAGUUUUUAUUUUCUUCCCUUUUAAUUCCUUUUCUUUAAGAGAAAUACAUUUUUGUUGAAUGACGUUAAAUUUUGAUUUGUUGAGUUUUAUUGUGGUUUUUGAUAUUGUGAGUGGCUAAAUAUUUUAGCUAGGGAUUUUAUUUAGCUUGACUUGAUUUGAUCUUUAGAUUUUGAUCUAA